UGCAGUCGAACGAGAACGGGCUUUAGUUUACUAAAGUUGUCAGCUAAGUGGCGCACGGGUGAGUAAUAUAUAGUUAAUCUGCCCCAAAGAAGAGGAUAAUUGUUGGAAACGACUUGUAAGACUCUAUAUGCCUUUAUYACAUAAGUGAGCAAGGGAAACAUUUAUGGCUUUGGGAUGAGACUGUACGGUAUCAGCUAGUUGGUGAGGUAAUGGCUCACCAAGGCAAUGACAUCUAACUGGUUUGAGAGGAUGAUCAGUCACACUGGAACUGAGACACGGUCCAGACUCCUACGGGAGGCAGCAGUGGGGAAUAUUGCACAAUGGAGGAAACUCUGAUGCAGCAACGCCGCGUGGAGGAUGACACAUUUCGGUGCGUAAACUCCUUUUAUAUGAGAAGAUAAUGACGGUAUCAUAUGAAUAAGCACCGGCUAACUCCGUGCCAGCAGCCGCGGUAAUACGGGGGGUGCAAGCGUUACUCGGAAUCACUGGGCGUAAAGAGAAUGUAGGCGGGUAGAAAAGUUGGAAGUGAAAUCCUAUGGCUUAACCAUAGAACUGCUUCUAAAACUCUUUACCUAGAGUAUGGGAGAGGUAGAUGGAAUUUCUG
rnacentral:rRNA from 1 species